rnacentral:rRNA from 1 species
CGCGGUAAUACGGAGGGUGCAAGCGUUAUCCGGGAUUUAUUGGGUUUAAAGGGUGCGUAGGCGGUUUGAUAAGUCAGUGGUGAAAUAUUUCAGCUUAACUGGAAGGGUGCCGUUGAUACUGUCAGGCUUGAAUUUAGUUGCUGUGGGUGGAAUGUGUGGUGUAGCGGUGAAAUGCAUAGAUAUCACACAGAAUAUCGAUUGCGAAGGCAGCUCACAAAGCUAACAUUGACGCUGAUGCACGAAAGUGUGGGGAUCAAACAGGAUUAGAUACCCUGGUAGUCCACACUGUAAACGAUGAUAACUCGCUGUCGGCGAUACAUAGUCGGUGGCCAAGCGAAAGCGAUAAGUUAUCCACCUGGGGAGUACGACCGCAAGGUUGAAACUCAAAGGAAUUGACGGGGGCCCGCACAAGCGGAGGAACAUGUGGUUUAAUUCGAUGAUACGCGAGGAACCUUACCCGGGCUCGAACGGUGCAUGAAUGAUUCAGAGAUGGAUUAGUCCUUCGGGACAUGUAUCGAGGUGCUGCAUGGUUGUCGUCAGCUCGUGCCGUGAGGUGUCGGCUUAAGUGCCAUAACGAGCGCAACCCUUGUCGUUAGUUACCAUCAAGUAAUGUUGGGGACUCUAGCGAGACUGCCACCGUAAGGUGUGAGGAAGGGGGGGAUGACGUCAAAUCAGCACGGCCCUUACGUCCGGGGCGACACACGUGUUACAAUGGUAGGUACAGAGGGCAGCUACCCAGUGAUGGGGUGCGAAUCUCAAAAACCUAUCUCAGUUCGGAUUGGAGUCUGCAACUCGACUCCAUGAAGUUGGAUUCGCUAGUAAUCGCGCAUCAGCCAUGGCGCGGUGAAUACGUUCCCGGGCCUUGUACACACCGCCCGUCAAGCCAUGGAAGCCGGGGGUGCCUGAAGU